UGGUAUAUAGUUUAAUCAAAACAAAUGAUUUCGACUCAUUAGAUUAUGAUAGAUCAUAUUUACCAA
rnacentral:tRNA from 1 species